GUGGGGAAUAUUGCGCAAUGGACGAAAGUCUGACGCAGCGACGCCUCGUGAGGGACGAAGGUCUUCGGAUUGUAAACCUCUUUCAGCAGGGACGAAGCGAAAGUGACGGUACCUGCAGAAGAAGCACCGGCUAACUAUGUGCCAGCAGCCGCGGUAAUACAUAGGGUGCAAGCGUUGUCCGGAUUUAUUGGGCGUAAAGAGUUCGUAGGCGGUUUUUCGCGUCGGAUGUGAAAACUCAGGGCUCAACCCUGAGCCUGCAUUCGAUACGGGAAGACUCGAGGACGGCAGGGGAGACUGGAACUUCUGGUGUAGCGGUGGAAUGCGCAGAUAUCAGAAAGAACACCAAUGGCGAAGGCAGGUCUCUGGGCCGAUCCUGACGCUGAGGAACGAAAGCGUGGGGAGCAAACAGGAUUAGAAACCCGUGUAGUCC
rnacentral:rRNA from 1 species